rnacentral:rRNA from 1 species
CCUACGGGAGGCAGCAGUAGGGAAUCUUCCGCAAUGGACGAAAGUCUGACGGAGCAACGCCGCGUGAGUGAUGAAGGCUUUCGGGUCGUAAAACUCUGUUGUUAGGGAAGAACAAGUACGGGAGUAACUGCUCGUACCUUGACGGUACCUAACCAGAAAGCCACGGCUAACUACGUGCCAGCAGCCGCGGUAAUACGUAGGUGGCAAGCGUUAUCCGGAAUUAUUGGGCGUAAAGCGCGCGCAGGCGGUUUCUUAAGUCUGAUGUGAAAGCCCACGGCUCAACCGUGGAGGGUCAUUGGAAACUGGGGGACUUGAGUGCAGAAGGGAAAAGCGGAAUUCCACGUGUAGCGGUGAAAUGCGUAGAGAUGUGGAGGAACACCAGUGGCGAAGGCGGCUUUUUGGUCUGUAACUGACGCUGAGGCGCGAAAGCGUGGGGAGCAAACAGGAUUAGAUACCCUGGUAGUCCACGCCGUAAACGAUGAGUGCUAAGUGUUAGAGGGUUUCCGCCCUUUAGUGCUGCAGCUAACGCAUUAAGCACUCCGCCUGGGGAGUACGGUCGCAAGACUGAAACUCAAAUGAAUUGACGGGG